rnacentral:lncRNA from 1 species
CCCCCACUUGAUCUUCGCCUGAUGCCUUCUCGCGGAGCAUCCACACGGCGACCCACGACCUCCGCAGCCAGAUCUCAGGCUCUGGCCUCGCCUCUAGUUUUUCAGGCCCCACAUCCUCCGGCAACGGCUGUCGGCAUGGAAUGGUCGGACAAUCGACCUCCGACGAAUUUCGCCAACACCAUCUCGGAAGAAUCCCGACGGGGAGCGACCGACGUAUUGGCCGGACUUCCCAAGCGGCAUAAGAUCGAGGAAUCCAUAACUUUCGCCGAAGAAGAUGCUUAGGGAGUUCAAUUUCUUCAUAACGAUGUGGUUGUA